CUACGGGAGGCAGCAGUAAGGAAUAUUGGACAAUGCCCGCAAGGGUGAUCCAGCCAUGCCGCGUGCAGGAAGACGGCCCUAUGGGUUGUAAACUGCUUUUGUACCGGAGAAGACCUCCCCUCGUGAGGGGAGCUGAUAGUAUGGUAAGAAUAAGCAUCGGCUAACUUCGUGCCAGCAGCCGCGGUAAGACGAAGGAUGCAAGCGUUAUCCGGAUUCAUUGGGUUUAAAGGGAGCGUAGGUGGUCUUAUAAGUCAGUGGUGAAAUCUCCGGGCUUAACUCGGAAAUUGCCAUUGAUACUGUAGGACUUGAGUACAGUUGCCGUUGGCGGAAUAUGACAUGUAGUGGUGAAAUACAUAGAGAUGUCAUAGAACACCGAUUGCGAAGGCAGCUAACGAAACUGUAACUGACACUGAGGCUCGAAAGUGCGGGGAUCAAACAGGAUUAGAAACCCGGGUAGUCC
rnacentral:rRNA from 1 species